UCCCUGGAGGUCUAGUGGUUAAGACUCUGCACUUUCAAUGGAGGAGAUAUGGGUUCAAUUCCCCAUCAGGGAA
rnacentral:tRNA from 1 species